AUGAAGCUCCUACGUUGGAACAUUAGGGGCUUCGGCCUCACUGGCCGGCAUCGGCAGCUCAUCGAGUAUUUGCGGCAAGAAGAGAUUGACAUUAUGGGAUUUCAGGAGACGAUUCGCCAGGACUUUAGCAUGCGUGAGCUCCAGGGGCUCUCACGCCAC
rnacentral:rRNA from 1 species